rnacentral:rRNA from 1 species
GACAGAGGAUGCAAGCGUUAUCCGGAAUGAUUGGGCGUAAAGCGUCUGUAGGUGGCUUUUCAAGUCCGCCGUCAAAUCCCGGGGCUCAACCCUGGAAUUGCAUUGAAUACUGGUGGACUAGAGUACUGGAGAGGAAACUGGAAUUUACGGUGUAGCAGUGAAAUGCGUAGAGAUCGUAAGGAAGACCAGUGGCGAAGGCGAGUUUCUGGACAGUAACUGACGCUGAGGCACGAAGGCCAGGGGAGCAAACGGG